rnacentral:rRNA from 1 species
CCUACGGGGGGCUGCAGUGGGGAAUAUUGCGCAAUGGGCGAAAGCCUGACGCAGCGACGCCGCGUGAGGGAUGAAGGUUUUCGGAUCGUAAACCUCUGUCAGGGGGGAAGAAACCCCCUCGUGUGAAUAAUGCGAGGGCUUGACGGUACCCCCAAAGGAAGCACCGGCUAACUCCGUGCCAGCAGCCGCGGUAAUACGGAGGGUGCAAGCGUUAAUCGGAAUCACUGGGCGUAAAGCGCACGUAGGCGGCUUGGUAAGUCAGGGGUGAAAUCCCACAGCCCAACUGUGGAACUGCCUUUGAUACUGCCAGGCUUGAGUACCGGAGAGGGUGGCGGAAUUCCAGGUGUAGGAGUGAAAUCCGUAGAUAUCUGGAGGAACACCGGUGGCGAAGGCGGCCACCUGGACGGUAACUGACGCUGAGGUGCGAAAGCGUGGGUAGCAAACAGGAUUAGAUACCCUGGUAGUC